rnacentral:rRNA from 1 species
GAUGAACGCUGGCGGCGUGCCUAAUACAUGCAAGUCGAGCGAAUGGAUUAAGAGCUUGCUCUUAUGAAGUUAGCGGCGGACGGGUGAGUAACACGUGGGUAACCUGCCCAUAAGACUGGGAUAACUCCGGGAAACCGGGGCUAAUACCGGAUAACAUUUUGAACCGCAUGGUUCGAAAUUGAACGGCGGCUUCGGCUGUCACUUAUGGAUGGACCCGCGUCGCAUUAGCUAGUUGGUGAGGUAACGGCGCACCAAGGCAACGAUGCGUAGCCGACCGGGGAGGGUGAUCGGCCACACUGGGACUGAGACACGGCCCAGACUCCUACGGGAGGCAGCAGUAGGGAAUCUUCCGCAAUGGACGAAAGUCUGACGGAGCAACGCCGCGUGAGUGAUGAAGGCUUUCGGGUCGUAAAACUCUGUUGUUAGGGAAGAACAAGUGCUAGUUGAAUAAGCUGGCACCUUGACGGUACCUAACCAGAAAGCCACGGCUAACUACGUGCCAGCCGCCGCGGUAA